rnacentral:rRNA from 1 species
GAGAUGUUCGGGUCUAGUGGCGCACGGGUGCGUAACGCGUGGGAAUCUGCCCUUGGGUUCGGAAUAACAUCUGGAAACGGAUGCUAAUACCGGAUGAUGACGUAAGUCCAAAGAUUUACCGCCCAGGGAUUGGCCCGCGUAGGAUUAGCUAGUUGGUGAGGUAAAAGCUCACCAAGGCGACGAUCCUUAGCUGGUCUUAGAGGAUGAUCAGCCACACUGGGACUGAGACACGACCCAGACUCCUACGGGAGGCAGCAGUGGGGAAUAUUGGACAAUGGGCGAAAGCCUGAUCCAGCAAUGCCGCGUGAGUGAUGAAGGCCUUAGGGUUGUAAAGCUCUUUUACCCGGGAUGAUAAUGACAAUACCGGGAGAAUAAGCUCCGGCUAACUCCGUGCCAGCAGCCGCGGUAAU